AUGAUUUGUUUCAUUUCUGCUUCUGUUGUGUGUGUGUGUGUGUGUGUGUGUGUUUCAGCUGGUCCCGCAGUGAAGCCCUCCGUGUCUCUGCUGCCUCCCUCUUCUCUGCAGAUCUCUGGAGACUCAGCCGCACUGCUCUGCCUGCUCAGCUCUUACUCUCCACAGGGGGCGCAGGUGAGCUGGACGCUGGACGGGUCAGAGGUCACCGAGGGGGUUCAGACCAGCGCAGAGAGCGAGCGGGACGGACGCUACAGCCGCAGCAGCGUCCUGAGCCUCAGCAAAGCACGCUGGGAAGACGGCGAGCGCUUCGUCUGCAGAGUAACACAUGACGGAGCUGAUCACGAGACCUCGUUCCUCAAGAGCUCCGAGUGCUGAUGUUUCUCCAGUGAAGAGCAGCAGGAUUCACAGCAGUCACCUGAUUUACAGCUCAAUACUCAAGCAGUCUUUCAAUGUGCUGCCAUUGCUGUUCAUUCAAUAAAGCUUCUGAACGCCUUACAUUUGUGUUCGACUGCAUCAUUGAUCAGUGUGUCCUUCCUUCACUAAAGUUUCAGCUGCUGUUGAUGGAUUGUAAUAGUUGAGAACAGCUGCGUUUAGCAGUAAAUGUGAACUGAAGCUCUUGGGGUUUGAACAUGGUCUCUG